GAUGAACGCUGGCGGCAUGCCUAAGACAUGCAAGUCGAACGAGACAAACCUAUUGAAAACAAAGUGCUUGCACUAUGUCGGAUUUAGAAUUUGUCUAGUGGCAGACGGGUGAGUAACACGUGGGUAACCUACCUCAAAGACUGGGACAACAGUUAGAAAUGACUGCUAAUACCGGAUAACUUAUAGAAGGAUAACUUUCUAUACUAAAAGAUGCGUUUGCAUCACUUUGAAAUGGGCUUGCGGUGUAUUAGAUAGUUGGUGGGGUAAUGGCCUACCAAGUCAACGAUGCAUAUCCGAGCUGAGAGGCUGAUCGGACACACUGGGACUGAGACACGGCCCAGACUCCUACGGGAGACAGCAGUUAGGAAUAUUCGGCAAUGGAGGAAACUCUGACCGAGCAAUGCCGCGUGAGUGAUGAAGGCCUUAU
rnacentral:rRNA from 1 species